UACAGAGGGUGCGAGCGUUGUCCGGAAUCACUGGGCGUAAAGGGCGCGUAGGUGGCCCGGUCAGUCCGUGGUGAAAGCGCGGGGCUCAACCCUGCGUCGGCCAUGGAUACUGCCGCGGCUCGAGCACUGUAGAGGCAGGCGGAAUUCCGGGUGUAGCGGUGGAAUGCGUAGAGAUCCGGAAGAACACUGGUGGCGAAGGCGGCCUGCUGGGCUGUUGCUGACGCUGAGGCGCGACAGCGUGGGGAGCAAACAGG
rnacentral:rRNA from 1 species